AAUGAACGCUGGCGGCAUGCCUAACACAUGCAAGUCGAACGAGACCUUCGGGUCUAGUGGCGCACGGGUGCGUAACGCGUGGGAACCUGCCCUUAGGUUCGGAAUAACUCCCCGAAAGGGGUGCUAAUACCAGAUAAUGUCUUCGGACCAAAGAUUUAUCGCCUUUGGAUGGGCCCGCGUUGGAUUAGCUAGUUGGUAGGGUAAAAGCCUACCAAGGCGACGAUCCAUAGCUGGUCUGAGAGGAUGAUCAGCCACACUGGGACUGAGACACGGCCCAGACUCCUACGGGAGGCAGCAGUGGGGAAUAUUGGACAAUGGGCGAAAGCCUGAUCCAGCAAUGCCGCGUGAGUGAUGAAGGCCUUAGGGUUGUAAAGCUCUUUUACCCGGGAUGAUAAUGACAGUACCGGGAGAAUAAGCUCCGGCUAACUCCGUG
rnacentral:rRNA from 1 species